ACGGGUGAGUAACACGUGGGAACGUACCUUUCGGUUCGGAAUAAUCCAGGGAAACUUGGACUAAUACCGGCUACGCCCUUCGGGGGAAAGAUUUAUCGCCGAAAGAUCGGCCCGCGUCUGAUUAGCUAGUUGGUGAGGUAAAGGCUCACCAAGGCGACGAUCAGUAGCUGGUCUGAGAGGAUGAUCAGCCACAUUGGGACUGAGACACGGCCCAAACUCCUACGGGAGGCAGCAGUGGGGAAUAUUGGACAAUGGGCGAAAGCCUGAUCCAGCCAUGCCGCGUGAGUGAUGAAGGCCUUAGGGUUGUAAAGCUCUUUUGUCCGGGAAGAUAAUGACUGUACCGGAAGAAUAAGCCCCGGCUAACUUCGUGCCAGCAGCCGCGGUAAUACGAAGGGGGCUAGCGUUGCUCGGAAUCACUGGGCGUAAAGGGCGCGUAGGCGGACUUUUAAGUCGGAGGUGAAAGCCCAGGGCUCAACCCUGGAAUUGCCUUCGAUACUGGGAGUCUUGAGUUCGGAAGAGGUUGGUGGAACUGCGAGUGUAGAGGUGAAAUUCGUAGA
rnacentral:rRNA from 1 species